GGGCCUGUAGCUCAGUUGGUUAGAGCGCUGCCAUGGCAUGGCAGAGGUCGGGGGUUCGAGUCCCCCCAGGUCCA
rnacentral:tRNA from 1 species